UACGGGGGGGGUAAGCGUUGUUCGGAAUUACUGGGCGUAAAGGGCUCUUAGGCGGCCAACUAAGUCGGACGUGAAAUCCCUCAGCUUAACUGGGGAACUGCGUCCGAUACUGGAUGGCUUGGAUUUGGGAGAGGGAUGCGGAAUUCCAGGUGUAGCGGUGAAAUGCGUAGGUAUCUGGAGGAACACCGGUGGCGAAGGCGGCAUCCUGGACCAAUAUUGACGCUGAGUGAGCGAAAGCCAGGGGAGCAAACGGG
rnacentral:rRNA from 1 species